GUGCUGGCUUCAGCAGACAGACUCUAAAUCUGGAACAAUACAGAAAUAUUAACAUGGCCCUCAUCCAGGAUGACUUGUAAAUUCAUGAAGCAUUUCUUGUGUUG
rnacentral:snRNA from 1 species